CCCUUAGAUGUUCUGGGCCGCACGCGCGCUACACUGAUGCAUUCAACGAGUCUAAAACCUGCUCUGAUAGGGGUGGGUAAUCUUUUGAAUGUGCAUCGUGAUUGGGAUAGAUGAUUGCAAUUUUUCAUCUUCAACGAGGAAUGCCUAGUAAACGCAAGUCAUCAGCUUGCAUUGAUUACGUCCCUGCCCUUUGUACACACCGCCCGUCGCUCCUACCGAUUGAAUGAUCCGAUGAAUAUCAUGGAUUGAGGAUGCAAGUAGGUUCGCCUAUCUUCACCUUCGAGAAGUGAAGUAAAUCUUAUCAUUUAGAGGAAGGAGAAGUCGUAACA
rnacentral:rRNA from 1 species